rnacentral:RNase_P_RNA from 1 species
UGAACAGGCCGUUCUAUCGCCAUCCGUAACGGAGGGAGGAAAGUCCGGGCAACACAGAGCAUCCUGCUUCCUAACGGGAAGGGCGCCAACUAACGUUUGUGUACGGAAAGUGCCACAGAAAACAAACUACCUUUACAAUAAAAAAUUGCAAGGGAAAAGGUGAAAACGCGAGGUAAGAGCUCACGGCUUUGUAUGGCGACAUGCAUUGCGGUAAACCCCAGGAGUUGAAAGACCAAAUAAGCUGGUGACAAGGGGCUGCUCGUCCCUGUUCUUCCG